rnacentral:rRNA from 1 species
UACGAAGGGGGCUAGCGUUGCUCGGAAUCACUGGGCGUAAAGGGUGCGUAGGCGGCGGGGCAAGUCUGAUGUGAAAUCCCGGGGCUCAACCCCGGAACUGCAUUGGAUACUGCCUUGCUUGAGUACUGGAGAGGAGACUGGAAUUUACGGUGUAGCAGUGAAAUGCGUAGAGAUCGUAGGGAAGGCCAGUGGCGAAGGCGAGUCUCUGGACAGUAACUGACGCUGAGGCACGAAGGCCAGGGGAGCAAACGGG